rnacentral:rRNA from 1 species
CAAAAGUGAAGCGAGACGGCGACGUUAAGCAAAUCACAAAAACCCAAGUCCCAGUUCGGAUUGCAGUCUGCAACUCGACUGCAUGAAGCUGGAAUCGCUAGUAAUCGCGCAUCAGCCACGGCGCGGUGAAUACGUUCCCGGGCCUUGUACACACCGCCCGUCAAGCCAUGGAAGCCGGGAGUGCCUGAAGUGCGUGACCGCAAGGAGCGUCCUAAGGCAAUACCGGUGACUGGGGCUAAGUCGUAACAAGGUACC